CACAAUGCAGUGCGAUAUGUCGCGUGAAGAGGAAGGUUGCAAGCUUUAAUCCGAAUUUCUGGGCGUAAACCGUGGGCAGGCGGCUAAUUAAGUCAGAUGUGAAAUCCCUAGGCUCAACCGAGGAACUGCAUUUGAAACUAAUAAACUAGAGUAUCGUAGAGGGAGGUAGAAUUCCAGGUGGAGCGGUGAAAUGCGUAGAGAUCUGGAGGAAUACCAGUGGCGAAGGCGACCUCCUGGACGAAAACUGACGCUCAAGCACGAAAGCAUGGGGAGCAAACAGGAUUAGAUACCCGGGUAGUC
rnacentral:rRNA from 1 species